rnacentral:ncRNA from 1 species
CUUGACAUGCCGCGAAUCCUCUUGAAAGAGAGGGGUGCCUUCGAGAAUGCGGACAUAGGUUGUGCAUGGCUGUCGUCAGCUCGUGGCAGUCAUAAGGUGUUGGGUAAAGUCCCGCAACGAGCGUAACCCUCGUGUUUAUAGUUUCGGAAUUUAUAUGUGAAUCAAGAUCGAUAAAAGAAAGUUUUACAAUCAUCGACUCAAACCCAUUG